rnacentral:rRNA from 1 species
GACGAACGCUGGCGGCGUGCUUAACACAUGCAAGUCGAACGAAGAUCGUUGUUCGCUUGCUUCUAUCAAUCUUAGUUGCGCACGGGUGAGUAACGCGUAAUCAACCUGCUCUUCUGAGUGGGACAACAGUUGUAAACCACUGCUAAUACCUCAUUCGAUCUAAUCUCGGCAUCCAUGAUAGAUGAAAGUUUGCCUCUACAUUUAAGCUAUCACUGAAGGCGGUGACUGCGUUUGCUUAGCUAGUUGGAGGGGUAACGGACCACUAAGGAGAUGAUCAGUAGACGGUCUGAGAGGAUGAACGGAGAAAUAAGGGCAGAAACACGGCCGAGACUGAUACGGGAGGAAGCGAAGGGGAAUCUUCCGCAAUGGAGGAGAGGCUGACGAAGCAAAGCCGCGUGAGAGAUGACAGCCUUCGGGUUGUAAAAAUAGGUUAGUCGGGACGAAAGGUCUACUUGAAAAAAAUGAGAAGGAUUGACGGUACAGGAAGAGAAAGCCACGACAAAAUACGUG